rnacentral:rRNA from 1 species
AGGGCACCACCAGGAGUGGAGCCUGCGGCUUAAUUUGACUCAACACGGGGAAACUCACCCGGCCCGGACACCGUAAGGAUUGACAGAUUGAUAGCUUUUUCAUGAUUCGGUGGAUGGUGGUGCAUGGCCGUUCUUAGUUCGUGGAGCGAUUUGUCUGGUUUAUUCCGAUAACGAGCGAGACUCUAGCCUACUAAAUAGUUCGCACAUUGUCUCUGUGUGUGUGACUUCUUAGAGGGAUUUUCGGUGUUCAGCCGCACGAAAUUGGGCAAUAACAGGUCUGUGAUGCCCUUAGAUGUCCGGGGCUGCACGCGCGCUACACUGGCAAAAUCAGCGUGCUUGUCCUUCCCCGAAUGGGGUUGGUAAACCCGUGAAAAUUUGCCGUGAUUGGGAUCGGACAUUGCAAUUAUUGUCCGUGAACGAGGAAUUCCUUGUAGGGGCGAGUCAUCAACUCGCUCUGAAUACGUCCCUGCCCUUUGUACACACCGCCCGUCGCUGCCCGGGACUGAGCCAUUUCGAGAA